AACGAACGCUGGCGGCGUGGCUAAAACAUGCAAGUCGAACGCGAAAGCGGACUUCGGUCCGCCGGUAGAGUGGCGAAAGGGCGAGUAAUGCAUGGGUAACGUACCUUUGGCACAGGGAUAGCUGCGGGAAACUGCAGGUAAUACCUGAUGAGACCACAGUGUCAUAUGGCACAGCGGUCAAAGGGCGGGGAUCCCUUCGGGGACCUGUCGGCCAGAGAGCGGCCUAUGUCUCAUCAGCUUGUUGGCGAGGUAACGGCUCACCAAGGCUACGACGAGUACCGGGGCUGAGAGGUCGGCCCGGCGCAUUGGGACUGAGACACUGCCCAGACUCCUACGGGAGGCUGCAGUAACGAAUAUUCGGCAAUGGGCGCAAGCCUGACCGAGCGACGCCGCGUGCAGGACGACGCUCUUCGGAGUGUAAACUGCUGUCGGGGACUACCAAGCAAAUAUGGCUAAUAUCCAUACGCGCUGAGGAAUCCCAGAGGAAGUCACGGCUAACUUCGUGCCAGCAGCCGCGGUAAUACGAAGGUGGCAAGCGUUGUUCGGAAUCACUGGGCUUAAAGAGCAUGUAGGCGGUCUAUCAAGCGUCUUGUGAAAUCCCUCGGCUUAACCGAGGAACUGCUUGGCGAACUGGUAGGCUUGAGGCAGGUAGGGGCGCGUGGAACUCUUGGUGGAACGGUGGAAUGCGUAGAUAUCAAGAGGAACGCCAGAGGCGAAAGCGACGCGCUGGGCCUGUCCUGACGCUGAGAUGCGAAAGCUAGGGUAGCGAACGGGAUUAGAUACCCCGGUAGUCCUAGCCCUAAACGAUGUCCACUAGGUCGGAGGUUCUCUGACGGAGUUCCGGCCGGAGCAAAAGUGUUAAGUGCACCGCCUGGGGAGUACGGUCGCAAGGCUAAAACUCAAAGGAAUUGACGGGGGCUCACACAAGCGGUGGAGCAUGUGGCUUAAUUCGAAGCAACGCGAAGAACCUUAUCCUGGACUUGACAUGCUUGGAUGCCCAUCUGGAAACCAGGUCGGCUGCCUUCGGGUGAAACGUGCACAGGUGUUGCAUGGCUGUCGUCAGCUCGUGCUGUGAAGUGUCGGGUUAAGUCCCUUAACGAGCGAAACCCCUGUCGCUAGUUGCCAGCGAGUCAUGUCGGGGACUCUAGCGAGACUGCCGGUGUCAAACCGGAGGAAGGUGGGGAUGACGUCAAGUCCUCAUGGCCUUUAUGUCCAGGGCUGCACACGUGCUACAAUGGCGUGCACAGAGCGACGCGAUACCGCGAGGUGGAGCAAAUCGCAAAAAACACGCCCCAGUUCGGAUUGGAGUCUGCAACUCGACUCCAUGAAGGUGGAAUCGCUAGUAAUCGCGUAUCAGCUACGACGCGGUGAAUACGUUCCUGAGCCUUGUACACACCGCCCGUCAAGUCAUGGAAGCCGGGAGCGCCCGAAGUCGCCUCGUUUCAGAGGUGCCCACGGUGAGUUCGGUGACUGGGACU
rnacentral:rRNA from 1 species